rnacentral:rRNA from 1 species
UCUGGUUGAUCCUGCCAGUAGUGAUAUGCUUGUUUCAAAGAUUAAGCCAUGCAUGUCUAAGUAUAAGCGAACUUACACAGUGAAACUGCGGAUGGCUCAUUAAAACAGUUUGAAUUUAUUUGAUGAAUGUAUGAGAAUACUACUUGGAUAACCGUAGUAAUUCUAGAGCUAAUACAUGCAACGACGCCCGACCGUUUCACUACGGAAGGGCUGUAUUUAUUGGAUACCAAAACCAUCCUUCCCUCGGGAAGUUUUGUUUGAUGAUUCACAAUAACUGAUCGGAUCGCCACUGUGGUGGCGACAGGUCAUUCAACAUUCUGCCCUAUCAGCUUUCGAUGGUUGUGUAGUGGACAACCAUGGCCAUAACGGGUAACGGAGAAUUAGGGUUCGAUUCCGGAGAAGGAGCUUGAGAAUUGGCUACUACAUCUAAGGAAGGCAGCAGGCGCGCAAAUUACCCAAUCCCGAUUCGGGGAGGUAGUGACAAAAAAUAACAAUACCGGGCCUUUUUGGGCUUGGUAAUUGGAAUGAGGGAGAGUUAAACGGACCAUCGAGUAUCCAUUGGAGGGCAAGUCUGGUGCCAGCAGCUGCGGUAAUACCAGCUCCAAUAGCGUAUAUUAAAGUUGUUGCAGUUAAAAAGCUCGUAGUUGGACUUGUGUGCGCUGUCCGCGGGUGGCCUGCGCCCAAAAGGGCGUUUCGGUUCGGCCCCGGUGGCGCCUUGAAAUCUGCAGCUGGGGGGACGUUGGCCUUAACUGGUCGGCGACCGCACGCCGGCUACUCGGUUACUGUGAGAAGAUUAGAGUGUUCAAGGCAGGCAUUGGGUGCAAUUGAAUACAUUAGCAUGGAAUAAUAAAAUACGGCUCCUGCCGUAUUUUGUUGGUUUUGACUGGUGGGAGUAAUGAUUGAUAGGGACGGUUGGGGGUGCUAGUAUUGAGCGGCCAGAGGUGAAAUUCAUGGAUUCGCUCAAGACUAACUUAUGCGAAAGCAUUCACCAAGGACGUCCUCUUUAAUCAAGAACGAAAGUUGGGGGAUCGAAGACGAUCAGAUACCGUCGUAGUCUCAACCAUAAACUAUGUCGACUUGGGACCGGCGGUAGUUUUUUCAUUAAGACACUGUCGGGACCACGGGAGAAAUCAAAGUGUCUGGACUCUGGGGGAAGUAUGGUCGCAAGGCUGAAACUUGAAGGAAUUGACGGAAGGGCACCACCAGGAGUGGAGCCUGCGGCUUAAUUUGACCCAACACGGAGAAACUUACCAGGUCCAGAGAUGUAGAGGAUUGACAGAUUGAAGCUCUUUCUUGAUCACUUCGGUGGUGGUGCAUGGCCGUUCUUAGUUGGUGGAGUGAUUUGUCUGGUUA